rnacentral:lncRNA from 1 species
CACACCAACUUGCCACUCCGAAGAAGACAUGUUUGGUGUGUGGUAGUUUUAGGGGGUCUUCGCCCCCCUUUUGUGGCUGCUCAACGUUAGAGCUCUUUCCAGACAUAUCCAUCUUCUUCUUUUUCUUCUUCACAUGAGCUACAAAAUCAGCCAAACAGAGCACUAAUCACUAACCACAAAAACAAGAAAAAACAAAAAAAAAACCCUAAAUUUCUAGGGUACGAGGUUGAGUUUCUUGAAAAUGGUUAUCUUUCAAGAAACAGCUGAACAGAUAAUUUUACACAUAAAUUAAAUAAUUAUUAAAUUGAAUCGAAUCAAAACAAAAAACAGAGCCCAGAAACAUGUAACUGAAUGCCACCACAACAGUGCUGCUACAGCUAUUUUCCAAAGCUUUAAUUUUUAUUUUUUUUCACUGAAAUUAAAGCAGCACCAUUAAUGCACAGGAAAAAAAACACACACAAACACACACAAUAAAUAGCUGAGACUGAGAGCCCCCCACAGUCAACAGAAUCAGAGACAUAAUUUCAGCGUAAUAAAUAACUAUAACAGACUCAUACAGAAAACAAACACCAUGGUCUGAGUAAACAGAACUAAAAGUGGGCAAAAAUGCAAAAUUUAAUAAAUAAAAAUGAAGAAAGAUACCAUUUUGAGAUUGUGGGCUGUCUUUAAGAACUUCUGUAGUGGUUUCUCUAACAGCGGUUCGAGGAGAAAUUUUAAAAAAAAAACAAAAAAAAAAAAGUUCACUUUUUUUUUUUGUUUUUUGUUUUUUGUUUAGUUGGAAAUUUGAAUUUAUGGGCUUGUUAUUCAAACUUGAGGCUGUUACGUACUGGUGUACAGUGAUCUGAGCAUUCAAGAGAAACAAUAAAGAAGGAGAGAGAGAGAGCGGAAAUACAAGAUCAGAAACUAGAGAGAGAGAGAGUUAAAUGAGAUGUAGAGAGAGAAAAUGGGGUUAUUUAUUUGAAGGAAG